UACGUAGGGUGCGAGCGUUAAUCGGAAUUACUGGGCGUAAAGCGUGCGCAGGCGGUUUUGUAAGUCAGAUGUGAAAUCCCCGGGCUUAACCUGGGAAUGGCAUUUGGGACUGCAAAGCUUGAGUGUGGCAGAGGGGACUGGAAUUCCUGGUGUAGCAGUGAAAUGCGUAGAGAUCAGGAGGAAUACCGAUGGCGAAGGCAGGUCCCUGGGCUGACACUGACGCUCAUGCACGAAAGCGUGGGGAGCAAACAGG
rnacentral:rRNA from 1 species